UGGGGGAUAUUGCACAAUGGGCGAAAGCCUGAUGCAGCGACGCCGCGUGGGGGAUGAAGGCCUUCGGGUUGUAAACUUCUUUUGCUCUGAACAAGGCGCACCAUGGGGUGUGUUGAGUGUAGGGGUUGAUUAGCGCCGGCUAACUACGUGCCAGCAGCCGCGGUAAUACGUAGGGCGCGAGCGUUGUUCGGAAUUAUUGGGCGUAAAGGGCUUGUAGGUGGCUGGUUGCGUCUGUCGUGAAAGCUCAUGGCUUAACUGUGGGUUUGAGGUGGGUACGGGCUGGCUUGAGUGCAGUAGGGGAGGCUGGAAUUCCUGGUGUAGCGGUGGAAUGCGCAGAUAUCAGGAGGAAUACCGGUGGCGAAGGCGGGUCUCUGGGCUGUUACUGACACUGAGGAGCGAAAGCAUGGGGAGCGAACAGG
rnacentral:rRNA from 1 species